rnacentral:tRNA from 1 species
GGGCCUCUAGCUCAAUUGGUUAGAGCAGCGGACUUUUAAUCCGUUGGUUGUGGGUUCGAGUCCCACGGGGCCUA